rnacentral:misc_RNA from 1 species
GUAGGUGAACCUGCGGAAGGAUCAUUAAUACGUAUCCAACGUUAAACCCCCCCUGUGAACCUGCACCCAGCUCCUGGGACUGACAUCUAUCUAUAUCCAGGCGAGUUGGCAAGUGGAGGCUGCCAAGUGCAGCUUGCAUUGAAGACCACUGGGUACAGUAUUGGCAGUCGGGAUUGAGCUUGCAAUAGGCUUGGUUGCCCCAAGGUGCGUAUGUCUGACAGAGUCAACGUGCUGUAAGGAUAUCUUGGAC